rnacentral:lncRNA from 1 species
AGAAAAUUCUAUAACCAGCCUCUUGAGCUGCUUGCUUGGCCCACUCUCACUCUGUGGAGUGUACAUUUGUUUCCAUAAAUCUGUGCUUUUUUUUUCAUUGUUUUGUUUGUGCAUUUCAUCCAAUUGUUUGUUCAAAAUGCCAAGAAUCUGGACACCCUCCACCAGUAACAGGCAUUGGGAAGGGGAAGGCAGAAAAGCGGAGUGCAAAAUGAAGUGGUAGUGGGUGCUAACUAACAAGAGAACCUUUGAACACGAUGGGACAGAAAUAAGGUCAUGCAUUUUCUACUAUCUGUCACCUGUGGACAACUUGCCACUUCAACAGUUCUGGACACUUUUAAGCUCCCCCGAGGAGAAGAUAGGAAACUUGGACACCCUGUGUGGGAUUGAGAAUCACAAAGGGGCAGUCUCGCACCUGGUCAAGAUAAAGCUGAACUGAACUCUUCAUUCACAAGUGGGAUUCUCGUAAGAGGCAGGAAAGCAGGGACCGUCUGUCACUACAGACAGCAAGAAGAGGCAAGAAGAGAAUAGAGGCAAAGCAAGCCACUCCAGAAGUCCUCUAGCCAGCUUUGUCUUUAGUUUGAUGGCCAGAGGUGGGCCAUAUGGACACUCUGUAGCUGCAAGGGUGCUGGGAAAGCGAGUAACUUCUGAGAAUGGCAGGAGAUUUGGAAUGAUUCAUGGAUUGGCCAACAGUCUCUGCUACUUGAGGCUAAUGGUUACACAAGAUUUAACCUUUAACCAGACAUCAACAAAUUUUUGAGGGCCUAUUAUUCAUACUCCAAAAUAAAUACGAAAGUCAGGGAUCCAAGAAGGCUCUUUCAAUUCCCAGAAAGGGGAUAAUAUAUAUGCUAUAUUCCAUAGUACAUAGUGGAUAAAGAAAAACAAUAUACUAUAUUUUUUGUGGUAUUUUGAUCCUCUGCUCGUUUACCUGCAGCAAUUAUCAGUAAAAAAAAAAUAAAAAUAAAAAUAUAAAAAUACUUUUAAGAAAAGGAACUUGAGCAAAUGCCUUUGAGGAAAUAAAAACAGUAGAGUUAGAAAAAGUUCACCUGAGGUGUGUGUCAGGGUUAAUGGUGAUUCCAAAGAGUACCAUAGGCAGUAACGACUUUAAAUGAAAAAGGAAAGAGGGGUGAGUUUCUGGAAUCUACACCAAAGAAGAAAAGAAGAAUAGUUUGGCCCUGAGCAGAAAUAUUUGGAUAUUUUCAAAUUGUUAUACAGUAUUCAUUCUUACAUCUAUUAUUGAAACUUUUUUUUUUUUUUUUUUUUUUUUUUGCCUACUCCAGCUAAACACUGUGCUGGUUAUCCCCAUCCAUAACUCCUCCCAAAGGGCCCAAUAGCCUGCCUUCCAGCAGAGCUAAUAAUCCAUGGUUUAAGUUAUGCAUUCGGACUGUAAGAAAUCUGAAUAAAACGUCAUUCUCCCUUUUAUCCAACUGGCAAAAUGCAUACUCUUCCUCUAAACUCAAUUGAAUGGAGUUCUUUGAGAAGACUUCCUGAUAACAUGCUAGGAAAUCCAAGCCAAAAGCUCCUUUUGGAGACAAGAAUAUUCUGACAGCACCUCCUACGAUGUGACAGAGUCAAAGAAGAAAAUAUACAAGAGAACUCUGCUAUAGAAAAUUACAAAUUCAAACCAUGGGAAAAUGGGGAAUAGAAAAAUUAUCUCUUUAGACAGAGAAAAGAUUAUAAAUACUGAAAAUUGUCAUUUCUAUAAAUGUCAUUGCUCUUCUGUUUUACAUUGUGUAAAUAUUUGGAAGAAAAUGGCACAAUUUUCUUUCAAAAAAAGGGAAACAUUCAAAAUAUUUAAAUUAUAUAUAUUAUAUAUGUAACAUGAUCAGCAAGUCUGGAAACAUAACGAAGUUUUAUAGUAUUGAUUUAUUCCUAUCACUCUGAGAUAUGGUGACAUUACAUGAUAUGUUCAACGUGUUGUUCCUCAUUAGCAAUGUGUUAUGCAUAAUGGGGACCAACAUGGGACAUUAAUACAACAUUUCUAUCAGUGCCUGCACAUGCUUCUGUGAUACGUUGCCUCCAAUGAUUUUUGUCUCUAAUUUUCAGAAUAUAAACCUGCUCCAUUAGCAUUUUCUGGAAGAAGCAAUCAAAUGGGUUAAUCUGUGAAAGUAAAUGUUAUCUAUAUUUCCCAACAUUAUGGCCAUCCUGUAUUAACGUAUAUUAUGUAUAUUCUGAACUGCUCCAUAAUUGGAAUAGUCAUUCCUUAUCAAUAAUUUACUUGAUAUCAUGGAUAUGUGUCUUUUAGUUAAUGAUCCCUUUGCCAACUAGCCUAGUUUAUAGGCAGUGACUAUAUCAUACUCAUUUUGAAUUCCCAAUACUUACCACAGCUUCCUAUACAUGGUAGUUGUUUAAUAAAUAAUUCUUGAAUAAAAAUAAACUUUAAAUAUUUCCUUAUUAUUUAGCUUUCGAGUACAUCUUGGAUAUUUGACACUUAAGCACAUACCACCCAGAUCCUUAUUUCCUCUGAUGGUUUUAUCAUAAUAAUUGCUCUGAGAGAUUUUUCCAGUGAAGUCUUAGAGUUACCACAUCUCUGCUUAUGCUUUCCACCACUGAAAGAUAGCUUUCUCCAGAUUCUUCUUCUUUUUUUAAAUGCUCACUUCUCUUCUAAGAUAUCUGGACCGAAUGGGUUUCAUUUUGUAUUGCUUUCACGACAAAAGCCAAACUACUAAGUGAGGAAAUAAACUGUUCAAAGUUUAUACAAAUUGUGAACGAGUGUAUGAAAAAAAUAUUUUUCAGUGGAAUUCAAAUGACAAACAUUUACUUAAUGUAAUCCAAAGUGACAUAAUAAAAGACAAAGAGUUUCAUACAGCAGGAGAAUGGGCAGUUAAUUCUGGCUGGGAUGAAACGUGAGAAACUAAUUGUACAAGCAUAUGCCACUUCAGCUGAUUCUUGAUAGAAAAAUUUUAGCUGUAGAAAUGGGCGGGAUAAAGCAUAUCAGGUCAAAUGAAACACAGCUGGAACACAUAAUAGGUGAAACAAGCAGCAUCUAGCAUAGAGAAUUCGAAGCACACAACAAUCACUUCUAAAACAGAAUUAUCUUAGGGAAUUUCGGUAAAAAAACUGGAUUCUACUUUGAGAUUUUGACAAAGAUAGGCAGAUAAAA